rnacentral:lncRNA from 1 species
AAACUUGAAUUCGAUGCACACAACUUAGCAAAAUCAGUCCCUAAACUAAUAUACCAACACUUACCCUGCAAAAACAGCAACUUAACACCGAAACUUAGUUUGUUGGAGGAGUACUAGCCGCCUCUUGUUCUUCUCCUAAUAGUGUGCAAACGAUAAAAUUAAAACAAAAAAAAAACUUGAAACCCGUCUCCUCAACAUAUAUCUUAAUACACACAAAUACCCCAAUCGCACACAUCACAACACCAUAUUCGAGAUCAACAAAAAUGAAGUAGAGACGAAAUGAGUAGCAAAUUCCUGUAGUGACAAAAUAAGUAAAGUAAGAAAACCAAAAAGAAAGAACAAUGGAAAAAGAAUGGAAAACACCACUGCCAAUAAAAGGGAACAAAAGAGAAAAAAAGAAAUAAUAAAAUUAAAAUAAAAAAAAGAC